AGCAGCCGCGGUAAUUCCAGCUCCAAUAGCGUAUAUUAAAGUUGUUGCAGUUAAAAAGCUCGUAGUUGAAUUUCGGGAUCAAUUAAUCGGUCGUGCCUCUGGUACGCACUGGUUUUAUUGGUUUCUCCCUUCUGACGAACCAGGAUGUCAUUAAUUUGGUGUCUUGGAGAAUCAGGACUGUUACUUUGAAAAAAUUAGAGUGUUUAAAGCAGGCUAACGCUUGAAUACAUUAGCAUGGAAUAAUGAAAUAGGACGUUUGAUCCUAUUUUGUUGGUUUCUAGGAUCGACGUAAUGAUUAAUAGGGAUAGUUGGGGGCAUUAGUAUUCAAUUGUCAGAGGUGAAAUUCUUGGAUUUAUUGAAGACUAACUACUGCGAAAGCAUUUGCCGAGGAUGUUUUCAUUAAUCAAGAACGAAAGUUAGGGAUCGAAGACGAUCAGAUACCGUCGUAGUCUUAACCAUAAACUAUGCCGACUAGGGAUCGGAUGAUGUUAAUUUUUUAAUGUACUCAUUCGGCGCCUUA
rnacentral:misc_RNA from 1 species